GUGCUCACCUCAGCAGCAUAUAUACUAAAAAAUUGGCACGACACAGAGUAGAUUAGUAUGGCCCCUACACAAGGAUGACAUGCCAAUUCGUUACUACUUCUCUCACUUU